AGUCUGCCUUGAAAUCGGAGUGCUUGCACUCUGUGAAACAAGAUACAGGCUAGCGGCGGACGGGUGAGUAACACGUGGGUAACCUGCCCAAGAGAUCGGGAUAACACCUGGAAACAGAUGCUAAUACCGGAUAACAACAGGUGAUGCCUAUCAACUGUUUAAAAGAUGGUUCUGCUAUCACUCUUGGAUGGACCUGCGGUGCAUUAGCUAGUUGGUAGGGUAACGGCCUACCAAGGCGAUGAUGCAUAGCCGAGUUGAGAGACUGAUCGGCCACAUUGGGACUGAGACACGGCCCAAACUCCUACGGGAGGCAGCAGUAGGGAAUCUUCCACAAUGGACGCAAGUCUGAUGGAGCAACGCCGCGUGAGUGAAGAAGGGUUUCGGCUCGUAAAGCUCUGUUGUUGGUGAAGAAGGACAGGGGUAGUAACUGACCUUUGUUUGACGGUAAUCAAUUAGAAAGUCACGGCUAACUACGUGCCAGCAGCCGCGGUAAUACGUAGGUGGCAAGCGUUGUCCGGAUUUAUUGGGCGUAAAGCGAGUGCAGGCGGUUCGAUAAGUCUGAUGUGAAAGCCUUCGGCUCAACCGGAGAAUUGCAUCAGAAACUGUCGAGCUUGAGUACAGAAGAGGAGAGUGGAACUCCAUGUGUAGCGGUGAAAUGCGUAGAUAUAUGGAAGAACACCGGUGGCGAAGGCGGCUCUCUGGUCUGUUACUGA
rnacentral:rRNA from 1 species